rnacentral:rRNA from 1 species
AUUGAACGCUAGCGGGAUGCUUUACACAUGCAAGUCGAACGGCAGCGCGGACUUCGGUCUGGCGGCGAGUGGCGAACGGGUGAGUAAUGUAUCGGAACGUGCCCAGUAGCGGGGGAUAACUACGCGAAAGCGUAGCUAAUACCGCAUACGCCCUACGGGGGAAAGCAGGGGAUCGUAAGACCUUGCACUAUUGGAGCGGCCGAUAUCGGAUUAGCUAGUUGGUGAGGUAACGGCUCACCAAGGCGACGAUCCGUAGCUGGUUUGAGAGGACGACCAGCCACACUGGGACUGAGACACGGCCCAGACUCCUACGGGAGGCAGCAGUGGGGAAUUUUGGACAAUGGGGGCAACCCUGAUCCAGCCAUCCCGCGUGUGCGAUGAAGGCCUUCGGGUUGUAAAGCACUUUUGGCAGGAAAGAAACGUCGCGGGCUAAUACCCCGUGGAAAUGACGGUACCUGAAGAAUAAGCACCGGCUAACUACGUG